CUCUUCUCCAUUGUUUCUAUUGAUUCUGUGUCUUGGGAUUUUGACAGGAAAGGGGCUCCGGUUUAAAGCCAGUUGGAGUUAGCAGUCGAGGGUUUCAGGAAUGCCGACAUUAUCACAGAAGUGGCCAGAGCAGUGAGUCUGCAUGUGGGUCCAAGAUUUUCCCCAGCCUUCCUUUGAGCAGUGGUUCUGGUUACAGCUAACUAAAAAUUACAGUUCAUUCUGACCUUCUUCACCGAGGCUGGUUUGCAGCACCUAGACAGCUGAGAUCUGCUUUGUGCCAAGCACUUCCACGCAACGUAAUAAUAGGCAGUUCUUGUGCUAACACUGCUGUCAGUAAUAGGGAGUUUAUAACUGUUCUUUAAGAGAAUGCAAGUGGAGAAUAGAGUGAUGUGUUGUUGGAUGUUUCCUUAAAAAUGCUACAAAAAGUUAAAACGUUGUCAAGCGGGCAGCACUGCUUGUGUCUGUGCUUUUAUCAUCUGGAGAGGGUCUGGGAGCUAGACUGAGGAGGCUGUCCAGUUUGUUUUGGAGGUUAUUUGUUGACUGUAACUUCAGUAGCUGAAAGCAGGUGCUGCUUGGAAGACGCUGUAGGACUUGGAAUUGUCUAUGUCUGAGGAAGGAAGCUUUUUAGAAACCAUUGGCUCUUGCUGCCUCCUUCACAUGAAUAUAAUGAUGUUGCUCCAGUGUUCCACCAUGAAAAAUAUCAAUCAAGUCUCCUAGAUGUGCUUUGUGGGAGAAAAUAUGAGCAGUAAGGUGUGUGCCACCACUGGUAGCAUACACGAUUGUGUGCCACAAUGACAGAAUCUCUUGCUAUGGAGUAGCUGAAUGAACCAUUAAUUCAACCUUCCUUCUGAAAAGAGAAAGCUUAGUAGUCUUACUGAGUAUUGUACUGAUACUUAUCUAUGUAAAAUACUUUUUUUUCCUUAACGAAUUCCCAUUAAUUGUUUAUAGCUAACUCAAAUUUAUUCAAAAAGUUUUGGUGAUACAAUUUAUAAGAAUUCUUUGGGAUCUCUGGGUGCUUCCCAACUGUUGAAUUGUUGAUGUGUUUUGUUAAACUUCUUACUCUGAUCAUCACUUCAUGUAUUAACAUAUUCAUGAUGAGUGAAUGCAAAAGGGAACACAAAGACAAGAAACACAUUCAAAUAUUAAUUUGAGUGAAUACUUUUUGAAGAUUUGAUCUGGUGCUAUUCAAAAUGCGGUGCUUCUGAAUCAGGAGCAAUAAAGUCACAAGAGAGAGUGCUGGAAGUAAUCCAUGGACAUCCUGUUCUUAUUAGAAGUGGGCUAAAGCAUUCUGACAGAUUUCAAACCUGCUGAAAUAUUCUUCUUCUUUUUUUUUUACUUCUUUUACACCAGCAUUACUGGGAGCACAUCUUACUUAUCUGUUUAAGGGUGGCUAUGAAAAAGGGAGAAGACAGAGAUAUAUUUGGUGAAAAAUAGGGUGAGAAAAGAAGCAGAGAGUUGACUGUGUGAAGAAAGAAAGAGACACCCUGGGAAAGCAGCAGAGAAAAGGGAAAGAAAAGAAAUCCUAAUUUUUUAAAAUAUGACUCCUUAGAACUGAGACUGUGCCAAACCCUGGACUUGGAGGCUGUUCUGUCCUUAAUACAUUGCACAUGAUUGUCUGUAGCUAGAAAAACAUUUUUUGUGGGUUUUGAAAAAUCAAAUUACCCUUAUAUGAAAUAAAACAAACUAUGAGUUUAUAUGGCAGAGUAAAAAGAAACCAAAUUCAUUUUGCAAGCCUUUAGAGAGUUUAAAAAUCCCUUAGGCUCACAAAAACUCAAACUCCGUAGCGUUCAAAUAUUCAAAUGUUGUAGGAGGUACAAUUGACUUAAUUCCAUUUACUUUAAUUAAGUUUUCAUCAGACUCUUUCUAUUUAGUUAACUGAUUCUCCUCUCAAGGCAUGUUUAUAUUAAGGGCAAGAUCCAAAAUACCAUAUGGAUACUUCCUGUGCAAUCUAGAUAGCCAUUAAGUAAGGAGAUUGGUUAUAAAACCUGUGUAACUUUAAAAGCUACAAGACUGUAGGCAGUUUGGUAUCCCUUAGGAAUGCCUUUCUGCUCCAUAUCUGAAGCAUGGGCCUCAAGCUUAGCAUCUUGGCAGACCAGCAGGGUCUGUUCUCAGAUGCCAUGCUGCCUACCUAAGCUUAUGACACUCAAACCUGCAAUGCCAGCUUGUCUUCUACAAAAGUGAUACCUAUUGAGUGGGUGACAAAACUGGGAUGUACAUGGAGUUAGAUGCUGAAACAAGGUGUGUAAAGCCUCUGAUAGGCAAUAGAGACACCAUGCAAUUGAGUGGAGGUAAGAACGGCUGUCCAGGGUCACGACAAGAAUUCACCCAGCCCUGCUACUUGACUGGCAGGGAGGCAUGAUGGUCAUGAAGGUGAUUUCCUAGGUAGGGCCUCAUUCCUUGUACUUCUGGUGACCUGACCACUGAAAAUUCUGUGAUCUAGGGAACUACACUGUAAAAUUUGUAAUGUGAGAUACUGUAUAUGUAUGUUUUCUUAAAUUAAAACACAAUCCCACCUCCAAACUCCCAUUAAUGUUAAGUGGAUGCCUAGAGUAGAACACAGUAAACAGUGAUCUGAUUGCAGCUUAAAUCUGUACCAACUUGGAACAUCUUUGAUGUUCCUUGUAAGGAAUUGCACCCAUUUCAUGAAAACUGUAUUUUUCAGUUCUGUUUGAAUUCUCAUUUGGGGCUUCAUUUGAUAUCCCCCACUCUUGAACUGGAAGAUUCAGCAAAACGUUGGUGCCAGACUACCUUCACCAUGACACGACUUCACACACUUCCGCCACAUCCCUCCUCAGUCAUCUGUUUCCCAGACUGCAGAGUCCCGAAUUGUUUGAUAGUUUCCUUGUAUGGAAGUUGUUGCAGACCUCUGACCAUAUGUCCUUGCUCUUUCCCAGUUUUUCUGUGUUACGUGCCUUCACUAUUGCUCUAUAGAAUAAUGUGUAGUUCAUUUUUCUUAGGAUACAUUUAUAUAUACAUUUGUAUAUAUGUGAGGCUAUGCAAGUACUUGCGAUGUUUUUCACCUGCUCUUCUACCAUGGAUAUCUUCUUCCACAGAUCUGUUUAUUUAUGAUUGUACCUGGACCAGGUUUGGGAAUUUGGGUGUCACAGAGUCACAGAAUUGUAGGGUUUGGGAGGAACCUCUGGAGAUCAUGUCCUACCUUCCAGGCCAGUAUGUGACCUCUUGACCAGAGCUGCACAGUCUCUUUCUCAGACUCAUUAAAGAAUGAGAUCAGCAGUUAUGCCACGUACAAUGCAGCUGCUCCAAGGCACCCUUACUGCAGCCUGGCUCUAGCCCUACUGCUUUAGGUCAUCUCUGAGAUGACAGAGCUUGUGGUCUGUUUGGAACUGGGUGCUGGUUGUCCUUAUCUUCUAUAAUUGCUUAGCUGUUGUAACACUUUUUCUCUUCCUCCUCUAAGUGAAAUAGCAUCUACUGUGAUACUUCCUCAUGUGCUUGCUCCUAUGGAUGUACUGUGUGUGUCCAUGUGCCAGGCAGUGUUAGUAAGCAUGCAGAGUGAGACCUUGAGCCCCCUACAGACAGGUACCAAAUUGCGUUCCAAAAAAACUGCUGACAAAAAUGGAGACGAGAGGAUAUUUCAAGAUUUGCAGUUCGUGUUUAAGUGUUUUAUGUCUGCUUACAUCCAACUUAGGUGCCCAUGAUCUCAUGAGAAGCUAUUUCUUGGCCUCCUUACACAUAAGUAUUUCUAUCUUACAGAAGUAGUUCCCCAUCUGAGGUGGGUGCAUGGACACAGGUAGACUAAAUAUGCAUUGAUACUAUCUUAUUUAGGACUGAGCAAGUCCGCAGUUUAACUGAAUCUGUAGUAGAUGUCACUGAAUUGCACAGAAGGCUGCUGAUAAGCUAUUGCAUCAUCAUAGGUGCCUACCACAUACAGCAGUUUCGACUUGGAUAUGAGGUCAAUAAUGUCCUCAGUGGCUGACAUAGGAGGCAGAGGUUACAGUAAGGAUCUGUCUCUACAGUUUCACAAAGAUAGUGUUACUGUUAUCCUUGCUUAACACAUCAGCUUGGGAUACAGAGUGAUUUUGAUGUAUGUAAGCCAUGAUCGCUCAAAGUCUUUGAAAGAGCCAAGAGGUGACAUCUGUUCUCCUGCAUCCUAGUAUGGUAAUUGGCCACUGAAGCCUUUUUUGUUCAUUAUUCAGAUAUUUUGGAAAAAUUAUUAUCACUGUUCUUAUGCUUUCUACUCUUCUCCUGAGAACAAAACAAAUCCUUCCGAGGGAAAAAAAGAGUUAGGUAAUGAUGGUCUGUGGAGUUGGUGAAGAUAAUCUUUCUUUCAGUGACUUGUCUUUUCCUGUAAGCACCUCCAAAUGUUAUUGCUCUCCAUGGAGCAGGUUUAUAAAAUAAUGGGUAAGUCAUACUAAUUAUCCUGUGAGCUGUAAGGGCUGCCUGCUUUUCCUUUAGAGAAAGUAAGUCAGCUUUCACAUCUUUGCUAAAAUUCAUAGCAAGAUAGAGAAGGAGCUCAUUUCUCACUGCAGUAAAGGAAGAAGGAAAUGGCAUAGAAGUUUGUCUCUGAAUUUGCCUAUUUCAGUCUGCAAAUAAUGAUUUGUAAAUAGAAUUUUUGGGUGAUAUUUUCUCUACCAUGUGCUAACAACACGCUGCUCUGUUCAGCUGCUUGAAACAAAUAGAACUGAUGCUGAAAAGUGAAAUAAAAGCAUCACUAAAUUAGCUGCAUAACGUCCAGAUCAAUGUAGCUUUCUAUGAGCAAAAUAGUGGGUGCUACUCUUCUUUGGGUCAUACCAACUGGUUGAUCAGUGUCAACAGAUAUGUUAUAGUUCCAGAUUGAGCUAUGAAAAUGCCAAGGUUAGAUUUUCUUAUUUGAUACUUCAUCACAAAAUUUCAACCGGACUGGAUUCCCCACAGGGGAUCUUAAACUAGAAAUCCAGAUAUAUCUGGGAAUAACUUUAGUGAGCAAAAAGUGAUAAUAAUAAAAAUAAUGUGUACUUCGUAUAGAGGAGUAUAAGUGUUUUUCUAAAUACCAAUCAUUUCCAGUAAUAUCCAUUUCAUCCACUUCAUUUAUUAUGGUCUGUAUGAACCUCUUUGUAUCUGUGAAUACAGAAUAAAGAAUUCUGCUCUCAAAGCCUUGAAAGCUCUAGUACUAGUGAAUUCAUGAGGAAAAUGCUGCUGACAAAAUAUAUACAUAUAUAUUUUGACCCAUUGCCUCUUUAUCCCCAUUUAAGUGACUAGUGUUAACAUCACUGUCCAAGUAUAUUCAUGCACAGGAGCUUUUACUUUGCUUUCCAUCACUGAGUAGCUGUGCCUACUGAAUGUAGUUGCUAUCAUGUUAAAAGCAUGUGAGAUGACCUGCCCAAGUAUUCUCUUGCUGAUUCCUCUUUUCUGGAAUGUAUUCACAUAAAUGUUCCUUCUAACUUCCUUUGUUUAGUAAUGCAUGAGUGCUUACAUCCUGGUAUUGAAAUUAUUUUUUGCUUAUAGUUGAACUGAUGUCAUGCAUCAUACACACUAAUAUAAUGUAUAUUAUAUAUAGGUACUCAUGCUUUUUUUUUAGCCACUCUUUUAUGAAUAGUGAAGAAUGAAUGAGGACAUAUCAAGUUAUAUAAUUAUUGAUGUCUGCCUUGAGCACUGUAACCUGUUAAUGUCAAAAUAGAAACCUGCAUGGUUAUUACUGCAAAAUAAGGUCACAAAUAAGGAGUAGAAAUACUCAAAAUGCAUUGGAAUAUGAGGACAAGUAUAUAAUCAAAAGUUGUUGUCAGCUAUAUUAAAGAAAAUUAUAGUUGAUUUAACUUAAUGGUAUGUUCAUAUCUGAAGUAAGAAAUGCAUUAGUUUUGAAGAAAUUUAACCAAAGCUAUUUUACAGUACAGAAAAAUUUUAAAACAUACAUUGUACAGUUCAUGGAUCAGAUUUUUGUUUGUAUUCUGUUUAGAGCUACCAUUCGAAUGAUUUGUGAAUAACAUUCUGCAGGGUAUAUUUUUUAUUCUUCUGCCUCCAAAACAAGAAUUGUUUUUAUUUAUACAAAAGAAAAGCUUAAUCAAAAUAGAAUAUAAUGUAGUUCUGAACCAGGUAAUAUUUUUUUGGAAACAAUUAUCUGUUUAUUAAACAAUAAUGAUUUUCCUGUAGUUUUG
ensembl:lncRNA